rnacentral:rRNA from 1 species
CGAACGCUGGCGGCGUGCUUAACACAUGCACGUCGAACGGAAAGGCCCUGCUUUUGUGGGGUGCUCGAGUGGCGAACGGGUGAGUAACACGUGAGUAACCUGCCCUUGACUUUGGGAUAACUUCCGGAAACUGGGGCUAAUACCGGAUAGGAGCUCCUGCUGCAUGGUGGGGGUUGGAAAGUUUCGGCGGUUGGGGAUGGACUCGCGGCUUAUCAGCUUGUUGGUGGGGUAGUGGCUUACCAAGGCUUUGACGGGUAGCCGGCCUGAGAGGGUGACCGGCCACAUUGGGACUGAGAUACGGCCCAGACUCCUACGGGAGGCAGCAGUGGGGAAUAUUGCACAAUGGGCGGAAGCCUGAUGCAGCAACGCCGCGUGCGGGAUGACGGCCUUCGGGUUGUAAACCGCUUUCGCCUGUGACGAAGCGUGAGUGACGGUAAUGGGUAAAGAAGCACCGGCUAACUACGUG